CUGCCAAUGCGUGACUGGCGAUUGGGUGGAGCACCACCGGGGAGCGCAUGGCAGCAGCGCCGCAUCGCCUGGGCAUCAACA
rnacentral:ncRNA from 2 species